rnacentral:rRNA from 1 species
UACGAAGGGGGCUAGCGUUGUUCGGAAUCACUGGGCGUAAAGCGCACGUAGGCGGCUGGUUAAGUCAGAGGUGAAAGCCUGGAGCUCAACUCCAGAAUUGCAUUUGAUACUGGCAAGCUCGAGGAUGGCAGAGGGUGGUGGAACUCCGGGUGUAGAGGUGACAUUCGUAGAUAUUCGGAAGAACACCAGUGGCGAAGGCGGCCACCUGGGCCGAUACUGACGCUGAGGUGCGAAAGCGUGGGGAGCAAACAGG